CACGGGAGAAGGCAGAAGAAGCCCUGGAGGCGACAGGGAAGAAACCGUUAACGAGGCGGCGUUGGAUCAGCAGCAGCUUCCACCAACUCCUCUGAACCGAGAUCUCCGCAUACAUAGGAGGGAUGUGAAUCUGAUAUGUACCUAUAUGUGUACAGGUGAAUCCUGGACAACACUUGCAUCCGUAACAUACCCAAGGAAACAACUGAACUAAGUUAUAUUGUAGGUAAAUACAGGCAAAUCAUAUGCCAGGUAACAGAACAGCAUGCAAUGAAAAUAAAACAUUACGGAGCAGAAAUCAAGUAUUCUGAAGAUCACAUUACUGAGCACAACGGAAGGUUGCAAUUUCUUUCUUCAUUUCCUAAUAAAAAAGAAAA